rfam:Rat potassium channel-Kv1 gene, complete cds.
GUAGGCUAUGGAGACAUGAGACCCAUCACUGUAGGGGGCAAGAUCGUGGGUUCACUGUGCGCCAUAGCUGGGGUCCUCACCAUUGCCCUGCCUGUCCCCGUCAUCGUCUCCAAC